CGAACGCUGGCGGCGUGCUUACCACAUGCAAGUCGAACGGAAAGGCCCUGCUUUUGUGGGGUGCUCGAGUGGCGAACGGGUGAGUAACACGUGAGUAACCUGCCCUUGACUUUGGGAUAACUUCAGGAAACUGGGGCUAAUACCGGAUAGGAGCUCCUGCUGCAUGGUGGGGGUUGGAAAGUUUCGGCGGUUGGGGAUGGACUCGCGGCUUAUCAGCUUGUUGGUGGGGUAGUGGCUUACCAAGGCUUUGACGGGUAGCCGGCCUGAGAGGGUGACCGGCCACAUUGGGACUGAGAUACGGCCCAGACUCCUACGGGAGGCAGCAGUGGGGAAUAUGGCACAAUGGGCGGAAGCCUGAUGCAGCAACGCCGCGUGCGGGAGGACGGCCUUCGGGUGGUAAACCGCUUUCGCCUGUGACGAAGCGUGAGUGACGGUAAUGGGGAAAGAAGCACCGGCGAACUACGU
rnacentral:rRNA from 1 species